rnacentral:rRNA from 1 species
CAUGUCUUUUUGAUUAUAAUUUAAAGUCUAAUCUGCUCAAUGAGUAAUUAAAUUGCCGCGGUAUUUUGACUGUGCAAAGGUAGCAUAAUAAUUAGUUUUUUUAUUGAAAGCUGGAAUGAAUGAUUGGACGAGAAAAUAACUGUCUCUUUUUAAUUUUUUUUUAAUUUAACUUUUAAGUUAAAAGGCUUAAAUUUUAAUUAAAGACGAGAAGACCCUAUAGAGUUUAAUAGUUUAUUUAAAUUUUAUUUUUUGGAAUAUUUUAGUUUAUUUUAAUUUAAUUAUUUUGUUGGGGUGACUAGAAGAAUAAUUAAACUCUUCUAAAUUUUAAUCAUUGAUUUUUGAAUAUAUAUUCUAGUUUUUUAAGUUUAAGAUUAAUUACCUUAGGGAUAACAGCGUAAUUUUUCUUUAGAGUUCUUAUUAUAAGAAAAGAUUGCGACCUCGAUGUUGGAUUAAAAUUUAUUUUUGGUGCAGAAGCUAUAAAAUUAAGUCUGUUCGACUUUUAAAAUUUUACAUGAUCUGAGU